GAUGAACGCUGGCGGCGUGCCUAAUACAUGCCAGUCGAGCGAACGGACGAGAAGCUUGCUUCUCUGAUGUUAGCGGCGGACGGGUGAGUAACACGUGGAUAACCUACCUAUAAGACUGGGAUAACUUCGGGAAACCGGAGCUAAUACCGGAUGAUAUUUUGAACCGCAUGGUUCAAAAGUGAAAGACGGUCUUGCUGUCACUUAUAGAUGGAUCCGCGCUGCAUUAGCUAGUUGGUAAGGUAACGGCUUACCAAGGCAACGAUGCAUAGCCGACCUGAGAGGGUGAUCGGCCACCCUGGAACUGAGACACGGUCCAGACUCCUACGGGAGGCAGCAGUAGGGAAUCUUCCGCAAUGGGCGAAAGCCUGACGGAGCAACGCCGCGUGAGUGAUGAAGGUCUUCGGAUCGUAAAACUCUGUUAUUAGGGAAGAACAUAUGUGUAAGUAACUGUGCACAUCUUGACGGUACCUAAUCAGAAAGCCACGGCUAACUACG
rnacentral:rRNA from 1 species